rnacentral:rRNA from 1 species
UACGAAGGGGGCUAGCGUUGCUCGGAAUCACUGGGCGUAAAGCGCACGUAGGCGGAUUUCUAAGUCAGGGGUGAAAUCCUGGAGCUCAACUCCAGAACUGCCUUUGAUACUGGCGAGCUUGAGUUCGGGAGAGGUGAGUGGAACUGCGAGUGUAGAGGUGAAAUUCGUAGAUAUUCGCAAGAACACCAGUGGCGAAGGCGGCUCACUGGCCCGAUACUGACGCUGAGGUGCGAAAGCGUGGGGAGCAAACAGGG